rnacentral:rRNA from 1 species
CUUUGCUNCCUUUGGGUGACGAGCGGCGGACGGGUGAGUAAUGCCUGGGGAUCUGCCCGAUAGAGGGGGAUAACUACGGGAAACUGUAGCUAAUACCGCAUAAUGUCUACGGACCAAAGUGGGGGCUCUUCGGACCUCAUGCUAUCGGAUGAACCCAGGUGGGAUUAGCUAGUUGGUGAGGUAAUGGCUCACCAAGGCGACGAUCUCUAACUGGUUUGAGAGAAUGACCAGUCACACUGGAACUGAGACACGGUCCAGNCUCCUACGGGAGGCAGCAGUGGGGAAUAUUGCACAAUGGGCGCAAGCCUGAUGCAGCCAUGCCGCGUGUGUGAAGAAGGCCUUCGGGUUGUAAAGCACUUUCAGCGGGGAGGAAGGGUCACUAGUUAAUACCUAGUGGCAUUGACGUUACUCGCAGAAAAAGCACCGGCUAACUCCGUGCCANCAGCCGCGGUAAUACGGAGGGUGCAAGCGUUAAUCGGAAUUACUGGGCGUAAAGCGCACGCACGCGGUUUGUU